AAACUUACCUGGCUGGGGAGUUCCUGCGAUCACUGAGGCAGGACUCCUGUGGCGAGGCUCCACCAUUGCACUUUCGGUUGGGGCUGACCCGCAGGGCGGUCCCGAACUGGGAUAGGCCCAC
rnacentral:snRNA from 1 species